GGAAUCUUCCACAAUGGGCGCAAGCCUGAUGGAGCAACACCGCGUGAGUGAAGAAGGGUUUCGGCUCGUAAAGCUCUUUUCUGAAGGACGAAUGGUCUAUAGGAUAGGCAGAGACGGUACUUUGGGAAUAAGCCACGGCUAACUACGUGCCAGCAGCCGCGGUAAUACGUAGGUGGCAAGCGUUAUCCGGAUUUAUUGGGCGUAAAGCGAGCGCAGGCGGUUUCUUAAGUCUGAUGUGAAAGCCUUCGGCUUAACCGAAGAAGUGCAUCGGGAACUGGGAAACUUGAGUGCAGAAGAAGACAGUGGAACUCCAUGUGUAGCGGUGAAAUGCGUAGAUAUAUGGAAGAACACCAGUGGCGAAGGCGGCUGUCUGGUCUGUAACUGACGCUGAGGCUCGAAAGCAUGGGUAGCGAACA
rnacentral:rRNA from 1 species